GACGUAGGAGGCGAGCGUUGUCCGGAUUCAUUGGGCGUAAAGAGCGCGCAGGCGGCUUGGUAAGUCGGAUGUGAAAUCCCGAGGCUCAACCUCGGGUCUGCAUCCGAUACUGCCCGGCUAGAGGUAGGUAGGGGAGAUCGGAAUUCCUGGUGUAGCGGUGAAAUGCGCAGAUAUCAGGAGGAACACCGGUGGCGAAGGCGGGUCUCUGGGCCGAUACUGACGCUGGAGGAGCGAAAGCCGUGGGGAGCGAACAGGA
rnacentral:rRNA from 1 species